CAAUUCCAGUACAUCUUGUUUACUGGCUAGUUUAAGAUCCACUUGGCCACUUGCCCUGUCAAAACAGAGGCAGCCCCUGAACUGCAUUGAGAACCAUCCUCUGUGAGUGCAGCCAGCUGGGUCAAAAAAAAAAAAAAGGAAGGAAAGGAAGUGGCCUUUUAAGAAACCCCGGUCUUCUGGUUAAAGUAAGAAUUACAGUCUUACUUUAGGUGCUUUAUAAAAAAGGAUGCUGAUAUACCCCAGGAUCUCUCAGACUCCUAAGCCAGCUUUUAUGGUCUGGCUAAAAGUUUGCUCUUGUGGUGCUGAUCGUCUGGUGGAAGAACCGGGUACUAACCAAGUCACCUACAUGAAUGUAUAGAGGCCAGCUGGGGAAAGUGCUCUGAAGGAAAGGAACACUAUUGCAUGGUACUGUUGAAGCGAGGAGGCUGACCGAGAUUCAGGGGCAGUCAUGGUUGCUUAGGGCAGGGACCCUGCCUGGAGCUGAGUUAUGAAGGAUGAGGUGGGAUUAGUUAGAUGAAGGCGUG
ensembl:lncRNA